rnacentral:tRNA from 1 species
GUCCUCGUAGCUCAGCUGGUAGAGCGUGCGAUGUACAGAAGCGUACGCGGCAUCCAUGCGUAGGUUCGAAUCCCACCGAGGCUA